rnacentral:rRNA from 1 species
CCUACGGGGGGCAGCAGUGGGGAAUUUUGGACAAUGGGCGAAAGCCUGAUCCAGCCAUUCCGCGUGCAGGAUGAAGGCCUUCGGGUUGUAAACUGCUUUUGUACGGAACGAAACGGUCCUUUCUAAUACAAGGGGCUAAUGACGGUACCGUAAGAAUAAGCACCGGCUAACUACGUGCCAGCAGCCGCGGUAAUACGUAGGGUGCAAGCGUUAAUCGGAAUUACUGGGCGUAAAGCGUGCGCAGGCGGUUAUGUAAGACAGAUGUGAAAUCCCCGGGCUCAACCUGGGAACUGCAUUUGUGACUGUAUAGCUAGAGUACGGCAGAGGGGGAUGGAAUUCCGCGUGUAGCAGUGAAAUGCGUAGAUAUGCGGAGGAACACCGAUGGCGAAGGCAAUCCCCUGGGCCUGUACUGACGCUCAUGCACGAAAGCGUGGGGAGCAAACAGGCUUAGAUACCCGGGUAGUC